AACGAACGCUGGCGGCAUGCCUAACACAUGCAAGUCGAACGAGACCUUCGGGUCUAGUGGCGCACGGGUGCGUCACGCGUGGGAACCUGCCCUUAGGUUCGGAAUAACUCCCCGUAAGGGGUGCUAAUACCGGAUAAUGUACUCGGACAACAGAUUGAUCGCCUUUGGAUGGGCCCGCGUUGGAUUAGCUAGUUGGUAGGGUAAAAGCCUACCAAGGCGACGAUCCAUAGCUGGUCUGAGAGGAUGCUCAGCCACACUGGGACUGAGACACGGCCCAGACUCCUACGGGAGGCAGCAGUGGGGAAUAUUGGACAACGGGCGAAAGCCUGAUCCAGCAAUGCCGCGUGAGUGAUGAAGGCCGUAGGGUUGAAAAGCUCUUUUACCCGGGAUGAUAAUGACAGUACCGGGAGAAUAAGCACCGGCUAACUCCGUG
rnacentral:rRNA from 1 species